UACGAAGGGUGCAAGCGUUGCUCGGAAUCAUUGGGCGUAAAGCGCACGUAGGCGGCCUCAUAAGUCGGCUGUGAAAUCCCUCGGCUCAACCGAGGAAGUGCAUCCGAAACUGCGAGGCUCGAGUAUGGAAGAGGGUCGCAGAAUUCCCGGUGUAGAGGUGAAAUUCGUAGAUAUCGGGAGGAAUACCAGUGGCGAAGGCGGCGAGCUGGGCCAAUACUGACGCUGAGGUGCGAAAGCGUGGGGAGCAAACAGG
rnacentral:rRNA from 1 species